rnacentral:lncRNA from 1 species
UUUAUACACCCUUAUCCUCUUCUUCUCCCUUGAAGAAAUCCUAGCAGCUUCACCUCAAAUCCUAGCCUGUACCCAAGAGAAUAUUGAGAUCUUCUAUAUUUCCUUUUCUUUUUUUCUGUACUUACAAGCGUUCUUUCCCAUUUUCUUGACAUUACUCGUUUGGUACUGAGUUAUUUAUGGGAGCUUAUCAAUAGGCAUUUGCUCGACUCCGAUUCUAUAUUAUUAGCAUGUUCUUAACUUGAUACACCCACUACCAUGCCCCAUGGUUCUGAUGUAGUGAAAUUUUUGCUAAUCUGUUCUUCGUCUAAAUUAGGGUUUACCAUUUUCCCCCUAAAUUGAUCCUAAUUGAUUUUGCAUGCUAUAUUUUCCUUAUUUCUGUUUAAUCGAUUGUCUUUCCUUGUUGGGUACUUAAUUUUGAUGCUACAUAAAUCCCUCCCCAGUUUCUCUUUUGGGGGGACUUUAAUCACUUAAGAACCACUAUUAUUCUCUCAUACCCUCAUUCACUCGAUACUAUUAUGAAUCUAUUGCUCUUUGCCGGCUGAAACCCAAGGCCUCUGGAAUACUCUAUAACAAUUUCCCUAGUGCGAGCACUGGUUGGGGUCCAUUUGAGGAUCCUGUGAACUCUGACGUACUAGGAUUUAGGUCUUUUGGUUGUUCUCUUUGCUAGUGAUAUUCGAGUUGUUUCUGACACUUAGCCUGUGUCUCUCAGUUUGGUUGUUGAAUUUUCUAACUAGCAAGCACUUUGACUCUUGCAAUCUAUUCUUAGUUGUGGUCAUGACCUG